GGGGUUUUUGGGUUCCUUCUGCCUUACAGUUUUUGACCUGAUUGGUUGUUGAAUUUGGGUGUUUUAGAUAAAUUAUUGAGGAGGGUCGUUUUUGGACAAUUAUGUUGAUAGUCCAUUUAUGUCUUGGUUCAUUGGGAUGGCUGUGUCACUUCUGAAUGAUCUGUGAAAUAGUGAUUGUGGAACUCAUUCUAUUAGGUGACAUUUCUUAUCAAAGAACUAGCUCUUUAGAUUCUCCUGCGAAUUUCUUAUAAUCGUCUUCUAACUUUUUCAAAACUUAGGCCAUUUAUACUUGGUUGUAAUACCCUGCACACACAUACACGGCCGCGCGCACACACGCACAUUAUUCUGAUUUUUGUGGAGAGUGUAUCUAUUAUAGACAA
rnacentral:misc_RNA from 1 species